rnacentral:lncRNA from 1 species
ACCACCUGCUUGCAACCAGGACAGAGUGGCCUAAGAAGCUCACAGAAGAUUCCCAGAUGUUUGGAAUUGCAACCCUCUGACUUGCUGCUCCAUCUCCUUUCCACCAUUUCUCUGUGCUGGGGUCUGGGCUUCACAGACUGUCCUCCUGCCUGAUUGAAAAAGACCUGUUCUGAAGUUCUUCCAAGUUUCCUCUUCUAGAAGUGAAAAGAUUGAAUUAGAUGGUUUCUAAGACACCUUCAAGCUCCAAGAGUCUAUGAAAAACAUGCAACUACAUCUCAGCCAGAAGAAGCAGAGUCAUCCAUCUGCAUCCAUCAUCUGGAUUUCCAUUGGUGGACAUUCACUGGGUUGGUUGUUUUCCUCUGAAAUCUGCCAGACUUUUACUGAAGAAGGCAGACUUUUGCAAUUGUCAUAUUCCACUGCUACCUGAGUGACAGAUGUGAAGAGAAAAAACAGAUCUGCAUUUAAUUAUGCAAAUAUAUGGCUAAACUUAAUAAGGCACUGGGAUAAAAUUGUUAUAACUGUCAAGUUUGGGAAAUAUAAUAUGUGUUCUUCAUCACUGAUCAUCAUAUUUGGAGAAAAAAAACAAAAAGGGGCUCAAAAAGGGCCCAUCAUUUUUGAAGAAACAAGAGCCACAUAUCAGGGAUCCCCAAGCUUCUUGCUUCUGCCAGGCGUCAUUCAUGGUGACAACUGAUGCCAAAAGUUCCAGUAGCUGACACCAGCCUCCCAAGGAAAGGAGAAAGCUGACGUUUCAAGGUUGCUCUUUUUCUAAUGAGAGCUGAGAGAGAUGAUGUGUCCUAUAAUCACCUGCCAACUCUAACUCGCGGUCAGCCAGCUUCCUUCAGUGGUACUGCAGGGCUCUGCUUUUUGUGUGUUCCUCCCACUUGGGACAAAGUGGGACAGAGUGCCUCAGCUACUUUUAGAAAGGACUGGGGAAUAUUCCCUUCCAUGUGGUCGGACAGUGGAUGGGCAUUUGGCAGAUUUAGCUCCUAUCCCAACUGCCCCAGGGUCUUUUUUUUUUUUUUUUUUUUGCUCAGAUCACUCUCCAUCUACUCUCUAUAUAUCUUGUAUAGACUUAGUUAUUUAUUUGUUUUCUCUCCCAAUAGAAUAUGAUCCUCUUGAGGAGAAAGGAAGGACAUUUUUGGGAGGCCUUUUUGCGUCCUCAGUAUGUAGCAUAGUUCUUGGCAUUUAAUAACUGCUUAAUAAAUGCUUAUGGAC